AGUGAACGCUGGCGGUAGGCCUAACACAUGCAAGUCGAACGGCAGCACAGUAAGAGCUUGCUCUUACGGGUGGCGAGUGGCGGACGGGUGAGGAAUACAUCGGAAUCUACUUUUUCGUGGGGGAUAACGUAGGGAAACUUACGCUAAUACCGCAUACGCCCUACGGGUGAAAGCAGGGGAUCUUCGGACCUUGCGCGAUUGAAUGAGCCGAUGUCGGAUUAGCUAGUUGGCGGGGUAAAGGCCCACCAAGGCGACGAUCCGUAGCUGGUGUGAGAGGAUGAUCAGCCACACUGGAACUGAGACACGGUCCAGACACCUACGGGAGGCAGCAGUGGGGAAUAUUGGACAAUGGGCGCAAGCCUGAUCCAGCCAUACCGCGUGGGUGAAGAAGGCCUUCGGGUUGUAAAGCCCUUUUGUUGGGAAAGAAAAGCAGCAGGUUAAUACCCCGCUGUUCUGACGGUACCCAAAGAAUAAGCACCGGCUAACUUCGUG
rnacentral:rRNA from 1 species